rnacentral:rRNA from 1 species
UGAGGAAUAUUGGACAAUGGGCGAAAGCCUGAUCCAGCCAUGCCGCGUGAGUGAAGAAGGCCUUCGGGUUGUAAAGCUCUUUCAGAUGCGAAGAUAAUGACGGUAACAUCAGAAGAAGCCCCGGCUAAAUUCGUGCCAGCAGCCGCGGUAAUACGAAUGGGGCAAGCGUUGUUCGGAAUCACUGGGCUUAAAGCGUACGUAGGCGGACAUGAAAGUCAGAAGUGAAAUCCCGGGGCUCAACCUCGGAACUGCUUUUGAAACUCCAUGUCUAGAAUCCGAGAGGGGUUAGUGGAAUUCCUAGUGUAGAGGUGAAAUUCGCAGAUAUUAGGAGGAACACCAGUGGCGAAGGCGACUGACUGGAUCGGUAUUGACGCUGAGGUACGAAAGCGUGGGGAGCAAACAGG